GCAUGAUUAGCUCAGUUGGUUAGAGCAUGGGGCUAAUAAUGCCGAGGUUGUGGGUUUGAUUCCCAUAUGGGCCA